rnacentral:lncRNA from 1 species
AUGGCCCUGCAGGGACAGCUUGUGGGGGUGCCAGGGCCCUUGGGGAACCUGCUCCCCUGCCACUGCCUUCAGCUGGGACGCACAGGCUCCUCCCCUGGUGACCUCAUCCCCACUGGCUGAGCUGUUUCUCAUCCAGGCAGCUCUUUCUCCAGCCCGGGGCCCACUCUGUAUGUGUCUCUUAGGGGGGGCAGGGUGGUGGCACCUUGGCCGGAAAGAACAAUGUCCCAGUACAAGCAAAUGGCAAAGUGUGAGGGGAGAUCACGGGGGACAAGGAGUGGCAAAAGCCCCCAGGCAACCACUGUUCUCCAGAGCUGAAUGUUCUGAUCUUCAGAAGAAGAGGGGGAAGUGGCUGGAUCCCCUCCGCCCGCUGCCGGCCUUCCCACCAGCCAGGCCGUGGCGGCCCCAGCAGGAUCCGCAUCCCUACUUUGGACAGGAGCUCCGAAAGCAAGGGCUGCUUGUCUGUGCAGAGCCUGAGGCCCAAGAACAGUACAGAUGGGGUUUCACCAUGUUAGCCAGGAUGGUCUCGAUCUCCUAACCUUGCGAUCCGCCCGCCUUGGCCUCCAAAAGUGCUGGGAUUACAGGUGUGAGCCACCGCGCCUGGCCUGCUUGUUCAUUUUCUUAAAAGUGGAUGAUGGAGAUUCCCGAGUGAAAUGUCUGAAGACUGCUGCCUUGGGAACAGGAGCCACGGGACACUUUCUGCCUCCGGCUGCCGGCGGGUAACUCGGGCCUGGAUGGACUUCCCUGCCAGCUUGUUUCCCAAAUUGCCGCGCGGGCCCAGAAAAGAGAUGAGAGCAUAAACCCCUAGGGGGCGCAGUCCCCAGGAUCCCUGUCUUCAUGGAGUGGGGCUCAUGGGGUCAGGGCUUGGGUCAACUCCACUCCAUAGCACGAAAUGACUUCCUGGAGUCACGUGCGUGGGGGAGGCUUAGCCCCUGAAGGAGAGCCACCUCUCUUCAGUGACUGAUUGACUGUGCACGUGAAAUAUUUUAUUUUUUCUAUUUACUCUCACAGAUUUGGGUUUUCCCUCCUCUCAUCCUUCUCUCCCAGCCACACUCAGGCCUGGGGCUCCAUUCUGCUGCCCACAAGGUACGAAGUGGGUUAGAAGCAGCAAGGGGACCCACAGGCAAAAAUACUCCUGGGAGACAGUGGCGAGGGGCACAUGUUCCCCGGGGCUACUAGGAAGUGGCCCCAGAUAACGUCUCAGCUGAUGACAGACUUUUAAUCACUAAAAGGUAAACACUAAUGUGCAGGAAUCCUGUUUGUUUGCUCACAGAUGUACCUGACACACAGUAAGUGCUCAGUAAAUGUUUGUAGAGUGACUGAAUGUUUGCU